rnacentral:lncRNA from 1 species
AAAGGCUUCAACCAGGCUGAAUAUAUUUCCAGCAGAUUUCACUAAACACCAGGACCAACAAACAAUUAAAGGAGUAAUUUCAGCAAACCCUCAAAAAGAGAUAACAGUUUAAGCAGUUUGCAAAUCAAAGCCCAUAUCCUUGGAAGAGCUUGGUGUGAAUGCUCACCAAGGUUAUACUGUGAUCUGUGCUCUGGAUCUGCAUAAUCCGUCUUCAGAACUACCUCAUAGAGGAGACAAAACAACUCUUGCAUCCUUACUCAAGUACAAGGAGGUGUCCCUGGAUCUACAUUCUGGCAAAGAAGGUUAUGAGCAGAAGUGAUGUGUGUGCCACUUCCAGCCCUUGCUAUCAAAAGGGUUGGUACUGUUCUGGCCCUUUUCUCCUUCCCUCGGGAUAAGAGAAAGAGAGAGAAUGGGAG